UACGAAGGGGGCUAGCGUUGUUCGGAAUUACUGGGCGUAAAGGGCGCGUAGGCGGUGUGUCAAGUCAGGCGUGAAAGCCCCGGGCUCAACCUGGGAACCGCGCUUGAGACUGGCACGCUCGAGUUCGGGAGAGGAUGGUGGAAUUCCCAGUGUAGAGGUGAAAUUCGUAGAUAUUGGGAAGAACACCGAUGGCGAAGGGCAGCCAUCUGGACCGACACUGACGCUGAGGCGCGGAAAGCGUGGGGAGCAAACAGG
rnacentral:rRNA from 1 species